rfam:Lactococcus raffinolactis 4877 genomic scaffold, Scaffold1825
UUUGAUAUGCUAUACUGGAAUGAGUAGAAAAGUUAAGACGGUGGCUAUCUUGAAAUGGAGGUGAUGCUUAUGCAAGUAAGUAAUCAAAUCUACAGAAAGGAGAUGCCUGUUUGUCAGCAUUUGAAACAAUUCAAGUCCUAUUUAGCUUUGGUAUGUUUACCAUUGCUUUGAUUGGCUUAGU